rnacentral:rRNA from 1 species
UACGGGGGGAGCAAGCGUUGUUCGGAUUUACUGGGCGUAAAGGGCGCGUAGGCGGUUCGUUAAGUCCUGUGUGAAAUCCCCCGGCUCAACUGGGGAACUGCACAGGAAACUAGCGGGCUUGAGUUCGGGAGAGGGAAGCGGAAUUCCGGGUGUAGCGGUGAAAUGCGUAGAUAUCGGAAGGAACACCGGUGGCGAAAGCGGCGCGCUGGACAUCUUCUGACGCUGAGGCGCGAAAGCCAGGGGAGCAAACGGG